rnacentral:misc_RNA from 1 species
GAUGAAGAACGUAGCGAAAUGCGAAAAGUAAUGUGAAUUGCAGAAUUCAGUGAAUCAUCGAAUCUUUGAACGCACAUUGCGCCCGCUGGUACUCCGGCGGGCACGCCUGUCCGAGCGUCAUUUCAACCCUCAAGCCCUCCUUCGGGAUGGGCCUGGUGUUGGGGCUCGGCCGCCAUCUCCGGCGGCCGUCCCCUAAAGACAGUGGCGGUCACGUCGCGACUCCUUUGCGUAGUAGAAACACCUCGCUCCGGAUAGCAACGCGGUCCACGCCGUAAAACCCCCAAUUUUCAAUGGUUGACCUCGGAUCAGGUGGGAAUACCCGCUGAACUUAAGCAUAUCAAUAAGCGGAGGA